rnacentral:tRNA from 1 species
GGCCAAAUAGUUUAGUGGUAGAAUCCACGCUUUGGAUGCGUGAGACCCGUGUUCAAUUCACGGUUUGGCCC